rnacentral:rRNA from 1 species
ACGAACGCUGGCGGCGCGCCUAACACAUGCAAGUCGAACGAGCGAGAGAGAGCUUGCUUUCUCGAGCGAGUGGCGAACGGGUGAGUAACGCGUGAGGAACCUGCCUCAAAGAGGGGGACAACAGUUGGGAACGACUGCUAAUACCGCAUAAGCCCACGGCUCGGCAUCGAGCAGGGGGAAAAGGAGCAAUCCGCUUUGAGAUGGCCUCGCGUCCGAUUAGCUAGUUGGUGGGGUAACGGCCCACCAAGGCGACGAUCGGUAGCCGGACUGAGAGGUUGAACGGCCACAUUGGGAAUGAGACACGGCCCAGAAUCCUACGGGAGGCAGCAGUGGGGAAUAUUGCACAAUGGGGGAAACCCUGAUGCAGCGACGCCGCGUGGAGGAAGAAGGUCUUCGGAUUGUAAACUCCUGUUGUUGGGGAAGAUAAUGACGGUACCCAACAAGGAAGUGACGGCUAACUACGU